rnacentral:rRNA from 1 species
UACAGAGGGGGCAAGCGUUAUUCGGAAUUAUUGGGCGUAAAGGGCUCGUAGGCGGUCCGUCACGUCGGGAGUGAAAACUCGGGGCUCAACCCCGAGCCUGCUUCCGAUACGGGCGGACUAGAGGUAGGUAGGGGAGAACGGAAUUCCUGGUGUAGCGGUGGAAUGCGCAGAUAUCAGGAGGAACACCGGUGGCGAAGGCGGUUCUCUGGGCCUUACCUGACGCUGAGGAGCGAAAGCGUGGGGAGCGAACAGG